rnacentral:rRNA from 1 species
AUUGAACGCUGGCGGCAGGCUUAACACAUGCAAGUCGAACGCGUGGCGGACGGGAGUGUAAUGUUUGGGAAUCUGGCUUAUGGCGGGGGAUAACGACGGGAACCUGUCGCCAAUCCCGCGAACCCUAGGCUGCGCCCAAGUGGGAUUAGGUAGUGGGUGGGGUAAUGGCCUACCAAGUCGACGAUGUCUAGCUGGUCUGAGAGGAUGACCAGCCACAUCGGGACUUAGACACGGCCCGGACUCCUACGGGAGUGAGCAGUGGGGAAUAUUGCGCAAUGGGGGCAACCUGACGCAGCCAUGCCGCGUGAAUGAAGAAGGCCUUCGGGUUGUAAAGUUCUUUCGGUGACGAGGCGUUAAUCACAGAAGAAGCACCGGCUAACUCCGUGCCAGCAGCCGCGGUAAUAC